UACAUGGGGUGCAAACGUUGCUCGGAAUUAUUGGGCGUAAAGCGCGCGUAGGCGGUUAUCCAAGUCGGAUGUGAAAGCCCUCGGCUUAACUGAGGAAGUGCACCCGAAACUGGAUAGCUAGAGUACCAAAGAGGGUCGCGGAAUUCCCGGUGUAGAGGUGAAAUUCGUAGAUAUCGGGAGGAACACCAGUGGCGAAGGCGGCGACCUGGGUGGAUACUGACGCUGAGGCGCGAAAGCGUGGGGAGCAAACGGG
rnacentral:rRNA from 1 species